rnacentral:lncRNA from 1 species
CUCAAAACAAUAUUAUGGUUAUUGCUUAAAAACUUCUCAUAAACUAUUUAUGAUUAUUGCAUGAGACUUCCACAUAAGACGUCGGGCGUAUCAUGCUCUCAUGGCGCAGCUGUUUAUUUAAAUUGUUCAAAUUACAGUUGAUUGUAUCAUUUUGUUCUUUAAAAGAAUAAAAUUUUAAAUUCAUCUACAUUGAAUUCCAAGCUACACAGAAAGUCAUAUAGUAAACAAAUAUUACAUAACCACAUUACAGCUAAAGGCUUCUUCUGAACAUUUGAUGUUCCCUACUAUAAAUUGGUUAAACUACACAAAAACCGGUAAACUAUCGUUUCAUCUCGGCUUCUAGUUAGUGUUCUGCAAUUAAUUUUGCACUGCUUUUAACAAGUUCCUUAACUACUAACAAAGAGCUUAUCAUAAACUAUUGUAAUAAAUAUAUGAAAAUAGUGGAAUUAACUAUUUUUGGAGUGGAAAAAAAUCUUUGAAUGUUUUAGACAAAUUUCUUAAAAACCUUUACCAAAUUCUUCCAUAGAUAUAAAGAUUUGUUUUUGAAGUUUGGUUGUACCUGGAGAAAACUUCUUUCAAACGGGAUAGCACAUCUACAUUUUUAUAGAAAUGUUGUUUACCCUGCCCGGAAAUUUAGAAACGAUCCUGUUAAACUUAUCGAUCCUUUCAAUAAACUCAUUCUCAAAGUUGACAAAUUCACUGAAACUGUUAU